rnacentral:tRNA from 1 species
AAGGGAGACCUAAUUCAGGUAGGAGACGAAAAAAAGUAGUCCCUACCAAGAAUCAAUCCCAAAAGGUCGGAGCGAGGCAAAAUUGGCUUUCAAACUAGGUUCUGGGUUCACAUAAGACCUGAAUCAGGAACAAGGGCUAUUAGCUCAGGUGGUUAGAGCGCACCCCUGAUAAGGGUGAGGUCCCCGGUUCGAGUCCAGGAUGGCCCACCUGCACAGGUGGCAAAAACAAGAGAAGCGAGGAAUCAGCACCUUAUCUUAUCUAUAUAUAUAUAGGAGAGAAUGCUGGCUCUGAGUAAAGAGUCCAGAGGAACCUUGAAAACUGCAUAGAGCUAGGUGAAAAAGCCAAAAAAGAAGACCGCAAGGUCAAGCUAAUAAGGGCUAACGGUGGAUACCUAGGCAC